GAGUUUGUGGCUCAGAUUGAACGCUGGCGGCAGGCCUAACACAUGCAAGUCGAGCGGAAACGAGUUAUCUGAACCUUCGGGGACGAUAACGGCGUCGAGCGGCGGACGGGUGAGUAAUGCCUAGGAAAUUGCCCUGAUGUGGGGGAUAACCAUUGGAAACGAUGGCUAAUACCGCAUGAUGCCUACGGGCCAAAGAGGGGGACCUUCGGGCCUCUCGCGUCAGGAUAUGCCUAGGUGGGAUUAGCUAGUUGGUGAGGUAAGGGCUCACCAAGGCGACGAUCCCUAGCUGGUCUGAGAGGAUGAUCAGCCACACUGGAACUGAGACACGGUCCAGACUCCUACGGGAGGCAGCAGUGGGGAAUAUUGCACAAUGGGCGCAAGCCUGAUGCAGCCAUGCCGCGUGUGUGAAGAAGGCCUUCGGGUUGUAAAGCACUUUCAGUCGUGAGGAAGGGGUGUCGUUAAUAGCGGCUCGUUUGACGUUAGCGACAGAAGAAGCACCGGCUAACUCCGUGCCAGCAGCCGCGGUAAUACGGAGGGUGCGAGCGUUAAUCGGAAUUACUGGGCGUAAAGCGCAUGCAGGUGGUUUGUUAAGUCAGAUGUGAAAGCCCGGGGCUCAACCUCGGAAUAGCAUUUGAAACUGGCAGACUAGAGUACUGUAGAGGGGGGUAGAAUUUCAGGUGUAGCGGUGAAAUGCGUAGAGAUCUGAAGGAAUACCGGUGGCGAAGGCGGCCCCCUGGACAGAUACUGACACUCAGAUGCGAAAGCGUGGGGAGCAAACAGGAUUAGAUACCCUGGUAGUCCACGCCGUAAACGAUGUCUACUUGGAGGUUGUGGCCUUGAGCCGUGGCUUUCGGAGCUAACGCGUUAAGUAGACCGCCUGGGGAGUACGGUCGCAAGAUUAAAACUCAAAUGAAUUGACGGGGGCCCGCACAAGCGGUGGAGCAUGUGGUUUAAUUCGAUGCAACGCGAAGAACCUUACCUACUCUUGACAUCCAGAGAACUUUCCAGAGAUGGAUUGGUGCCUUCGGGAACUCUGAGACAGGUGCUGCAUGGCUGUCGUCAGCUCGUGUUGUGAAAUGUUGGGUUAAGUCCCGCAACGAGCGCAACCCUUAUCCUUGUUUGCCAGCGAGUAAUGUCGGGAACUCCAGGGAGACUGCCGGUGAUAAACCGGAGGAAGGUGGGGACGACGUCAAGUCAUCAUGGCCCUUACGAGUAGGGCUACACACGUGCUACAAUGGCGCAUACAGAGGGCGGCCAACUUGCGAAAGUGAGCGAAUCCCAAAAAGUGCGUCGUAGUCCGGAUUGGAGUCUGCAACUCGACUCCAUGAAGUCGGAAUCGCUAGUAAUCGUGGAUCAGAAUGCCACGGUGAAUACGUUCCCGGGCCUUGUACACACCGCCCGUCACACCAUGGGAGUGGGCUGCAAAAGAAGUAGGUAGUUUAACCUUCGGGGGGACGCUUACCACUUUGUGGUUCAUGACUGGGGUGAAGUCGUAACAAUG
rnacentral:rRNA from 1 species